AAUCCGCACUUCGAUAAAUAUCAAUUAAAUGAGCUACUAAUCCAUCUAGAUGCAACCUACAAAUCAACAAACAAAUAUGUACCACUUGAGCCCUCAUAUCUCGACACUAUAAACAACCAAUCAUUAUGAAACACCCCAACCCCUUUUAUUUCUCUGCUCUCCCCGUAACCUCAUCCUUCUUCUUCGUUUUCUCCCUCUGCAACCUCGUCUCUCUCUGUCUCUUCCUCUCCUGCACAGUGAUCACUCAAGCAUCACCUACAACUACAUUCUUGGCUCGAGGUCGUCAUCAUCAUCAUCGUUGAACUGUCUCUUUCUCUCUCUCUGCUAUCGCAGCAGCUCGUGAGCCCGAAAGCUUUCCGCGAGCUCCUUGACUAGUUUGGAAUUGGAGACAUCACAGGCAAGCACACCAACUUCCGGCGGACCCGAGCACUUCGAGGGCUCUUUCCGUUCGCUCACGGCAGUUCCACGACGAAACGAGGGUGCCUAAAUACUCUACUCUUUUCCCUCUUCAUUUUAGUGUUUGUUUGGAACCCUAGUUUGCUAGAAAACCGUUCGCCGGAGCUGUAGCAACUCCGGUUUUCCCCUCCGGUAUUUCGCAGGCCUUUUAGGCCACCCAUCAACCUCGGGCCUUAGGCCCGUGCAUGGAUCAGCCCAAGACACCAGAAACCCAACCCGUUCCCUUUUUAUUUUUAGUUACUUUUCUUUUUAAAACCCAAAUACCUAAGGGGCCUUGGCUCGUGUACUAAACCCUAUAGCCCAGCCCGUUUUCUUUUAUUUUUUUUAUUUUGGGUUUUAAGGGUCCCCGGGCCUUAGGGCCUCUUUCCUUUUAUUUAAGGGCUUAAAGCCCAAUUUCCUCCUUAGUCCUAAGGGCUUAAUACCCGGCCUUGGGUUCUAGGUUUGCGGGCCGUGUGGUGCUGUGUGUGUGUGUAUGUAUGAUUGUGCAUGUGCGUAUGUGUAUAUGUAUGCACGUGUGUGCGUGUUACCGUGUGUGUGUGCAUGUGUGUGGUAUGUUGUGUGUGUGUAAGUGUGCAUGUGUGCAUGUGUGCUAUGCAUAUGUACAUGUGUGUUGUGCACGCAUGUAUGUGUGUUGUGUGUGGAUUUGGGAUUAAGCCCAAACCACCAUUUUUAUUCCUAGGCCUAUCCAAACCCAAAACCCAAUAGGUCCUAACCCUUUUUAACCCAAACUUUUUUAUCUAGAAACCCAAAACCCUUAGGCUUAAGGCCUUCUGGUCUUUUUUUAACCAGGACCCUUCUUAGGGUAAUUCGACGUUCUGAAUUCGUUUCCAAUGUCCGUUUUUCCAAAUUCAAUUGUUUUUAUAUAGUUUUAUUUAUUGGACUCUUUAUGUGCUUAGCGGCAAUUAUUGUGACGCUUCCGUCUUCACUAGUGGCGCAGUUUUUUGCGGCUAAGUACUAUGAAGUCAUUUGAACAAAACUCAUAGCUAGCCUGCGACAUUGAGAAGGGAGAAGAUGGGGAUUCAAGGGCUUCAGCCGCUGUUGAGAUAGAUAACGGCGCCAAUCCACAUUAAGGACUUGGAGGGCACUUGCGUGGCAGUGGAUGCCUACUCUUGGCUUCACAAAAGCUGCAUGUUGACAUUUCACCUUUAAUUGCACGUGAACUAAUCCAGGUAUUCAAGCAAGAGUAUGCAUGUCAUGUGGUGGCUCCUUACGAGGCAGAUUCUCAAAUGACGUUCUUGGCUGUCAGCAAGCAGGUAGGUCAGCAGUUAUCACUGAGGAUUCAGAUCUUAUACCAUUCGGCUGACCCAGGAUUAUCUUUAAAAUGGACAAAUUUGGGCAAGGUGUUGAGUUUCAAUAUUCCAUGCUACAUCGGAACAAGGACUUGACUUUUUCUGGAUUCACAAAACAGAUGCUUCUGGUGAUGUGUCUUCUGAGUGGUUGUAACUAUUUAAAGUCGUUGCCUGGAAUGGGACUGAAAAAGAGCUCACAUCCUCAUCAAAAAGUUCACAAGUUAUGACAAGGUAAUUAAGCACACGAAGUACAGUACUGCUUCAGUUCCUCCCCUAUUUGAAGAAUCAUUCAAGAAAGCAAUAUUGACGUUCCAGCAUCAACGGGUUCAUGGUUCCGUUUCUCAAGAUAUUGUGUAUUUAUCUGAUGUCUGAUGAUGUUGUGGAUGAUUUCGACUUCUUAGGACCAUAUCCUUUAUAUUGUUAAUCUCAGUUAACCAUCUCAUUACGUUCUUUUAUUGUUUCGUUACUUCCUUGCUCCUCCUAUUCUUUUCAAUACAUAAAUUGUGGCUUAACCUGAGAUACAUCUGUACCACAACAUAUAGCUAAAGGUAUAGCAGAAGUUGAUAUCGAUCCAUUUACCUAAAUGAAAUUCUAGGAAGAGAACGUUAGUGCCGACAGAACUUACCAACCUAAAAUGUCAAUCUUGGAAGGACAAAUAAAAGGAAAGAUUUGCCUGUGCAGAAUACCUCCUGACAAAAUAUUUUUGUAUCCUUUGAAUCCCCUUUUUCUUAAGCUUGAUUACAUUACCUAGGUUUUAAUUCAGCAUAUUGUGCUAAAAAAUCAGUAUAAAAUAAUGUUCACAGUAUUGCAUUUUUGUAGCUUAUAUUGUGCUUGAGCUCAAGUUCUGUAGUUUUCUUGGACAACUAAAGGCUUUGCCUCUCUUGAAGCAAAGACAAAAUUCAGGCUCCGCGGAACUCACCUGAUUCUCCAAGUCCAGUUGAUGAUUCUUCUUUCAGUCCCAGUGAAAAUUCCUCUGCGGAUGAUGUUCCGUGUAAAACAAACUGCUCAAAGAUAUCCCUUGUUAACUCUGACAACAUGGGAAUUGAACCUCCUAGUGGUAUAAGAUGACCUCGACACUGAUGUCCCUGAUUUAUUAGAAUCUCAAAAUCAUGACAUGGUUUGCAUGAGACGAAGUCCAGAAAAUACAUUGUUGCAACAAUCCAGACAUAUUCUAUUCAUAAGCCUUGUCUAACGCUGCAUACGGAGCGUGAAUGUAAGAAUGCCCCAGACACAGUUGAAGGUGGUAAGACAAGAACGGAGCACAGAAAGGUUAUUGUAAGUUCUCAUUUCAAGGAUAAGUCAAUCAAUAAACACAAUCCGGAAGAUAAACAAGAAAAGCAAUUGCUAAAGGAUGAUCUUGCUAUUGUUAUGCACGAGGAUGCAGUUCCUGAGAGUGCUUAGUUUGAGAAUAGCUAUUUUAAAGGCAAAGUUGCGAAAAGGACAACCUCCCCACAUGACAACGUUCAAAUGGAAAAUGUGAAACUAAAACAACUGUGUAUCAGUGCAUCCCUUCCAGAUGAUGGUUCCUGUGCAUCUAGCCUGAACAAAACAAUUACAGACACAAAUAAAGAAGGAAAAUUCAGAUCCAAUAUUUCCCUUUUAGGCCGUUAUUCAGAUAUAGCGAAGAAAUCAAUGGAAAGAUAUGUAUCAGUAAUAUCAUCAUUUAUAUUUUCCUCGUCUAGUUCUCA